AGGAGGGUCCCUUGGCAGCCUCUCUGCACCAGCGGCGGCCCUGGGACCAAGAAGACGUCCUCUUGCUCCACAAAUGAUCCCCCGCUGUGGAGCAGAAGCCUGCUCCCCAGAGGUGCAGCUCCAGCCGUCUCCCCUUCCGGGCUCCCGGGAGAUGCUCCCCGGAGCUCGGUCCCAUGGCUCUGUACAAAGUCUCGCCUCCUCCCCUCCUCGGUGAGGACCGGCUGAGGCCUCGGGAAGGCGCGACCGGCCAGCUCCCAGGAAAGCUGCCUCCUCACAGCAAGGGCGGGGAGGCAGAUGGGGAGACUGAAGCACAGAAAAGUAAAGGAAGUGAAGAAGUAAAGAAUGGAUACAUGCAAUGGAUAAAAAUGAACAGUCUGCAUAUAUUAUAACAGAAGUUCACAAUGACCCAUCUCCUUCCCGGGAUCAUUUGGCGCCGACCCCAGAGCACGCGGCCCACCGCGCCCACCUGCGCCGGCGUUUCCCGUGCGGGGCGGGAACAGGCGUUAAAGCCGCCCGCCCAGUGCACUCUGCCCGCCGGCUGCGUCCACGCGCCUCGCGACCGUGUUUUUUCGCGCCCAUGCGACGCCCGGCGCUCCUGCUCCAGGCGCCCGUGCUGGCCGAGCUGGGCGGUCUCGGAGGGCUCCCCGACCGGUGAGUGGGGGCCCUUAGCGGGCGCGCAUCCCCAUCAGCAGACUGCGGGGCCGGGGCGGAGGGAGAGCUUGGGGCGUCCUCGCUAGGUGUGCGCGGCGUGUCCCCCGUCCUGCGGUGACCUUUUAUCCGGGAGGGCGAGGCUGGACCAUCUGGAGGGGCCCGGGCUUUUCAGCCCUUAACUCCUUAGCAAAUCUGCCUGGUGGGUGGGCUCAGUGGACAAACUGUGUGUCUUUUGCUUUUUGGCCCUCUAUGGGAAUGGAACGUCCCUCGACAAGCUUCUUCCUAGAUUCCCCACCGUCCAGGGGAGUGGGAUUGGCUUUCUAGCCUUUGUCUCUGAUGGGCCGCCCAGGUUUAACCAGGCCUCUCCUGAGGCUUGGGACCUUGGAAAGGGGUGCUUCCCUCCAAAACAGCCCUGGAGUUUGUUCCCGAGUGCGGUUAGCUAGCAACUUGCAGCAGCACUUGUUAAUACCACUCAGGUGCAGGCGGACCCCAAGGCAGAGAGAGCUGCGCCGGGUCCCAGGGUGACUGAGACACCCUCAGCUCCCGUAGGGUCGGUGGCUGGUGACUUAGCUGGUGCAGGAGCUGCCCAGCGUUUGUCAGACCACCUGGCCUGCCGGAGUGAGUCUCUCCUGACAGGUGCUCCUGAUUGGCCCUGAAGGAUGGAGGCAGGCUUGAAAUCAUAUGUUCAAGUACGCAGACACUUUCUUGGUCAAGGUACUGUGAACUCGUUUGGAGGAGAUGGCCCUUCAUCUCUGAAUUGUUUGUCCUCCAGUAGGGAUUCUAACACUCAGGGUUUUUGCCUAACCUGCUCUGCUUGGCAGGAAGCCCUUACCUGUGUGUGGUCUGACAGCCCCACUCCUGAAGUGGGAUUUAAAGUUACUUGUCUUUUUCACUAAGCAGUGUUUCCCAAAGCCUUCUGAUGGGAAGACAUCUUUAUGAUGUCUGCUGUAGAACAGCGGGUGAUCUACUUUGUAUAUUGUACACAAUAUGCUUUGUAUAUUGACAGACUAUGAGAA